CCUACGGGAGGCAGCAGUGAGGAAUAUUGGUCAAUGGCCGGAAGGCUGAACCAGCCAUGCCGCGUGAAGGUCAGUGCCCUAUGGGCGUUAAACUUCUUUUGUGCGGGAGCAAUAAUGGUCACGUGUGGCCAGACGAGAGUACCGUACGAAUAAGCAUCGGCUAACUCCGUGCCAGCAGCCGCGGUAAUACGGGGGAUGCAAGCGUUAUCCGGAUUUAUUGGGUUUAAAGGGUGCGUAGGCUGUGAGGUAAGUCAGCGGUGAAAUGCCCCCGCUCAACGGGGUGAAGUGCCAUUGAUACUGCCUGGCUGGAAUGCGGAUGCCGUGGGAGGAAUGUGUGGUGUAGCGGUGAAAUGCAUAGAUAUCACACAGAACACCGAUUGCGAAGGCAUCUCACGAAUCCGCGAUUGACGCUGAUGCACGAUAGCGUGGGUAUCAAACAGGAUUAGAUACCCGUGUAGUC
rnacentral:rRNA from 1 species